rnacentral:lncRNA from 1 species
CCUUGAAUCGACUGGAAACAUGACACCGGUUCCAUGCUCUGGAACUGUCACCUGUGAUGUGCUGGGCUGUGUCCCAAGCACAGGAAUCCCAGCAGUUUCAGCUCAAUGCAGAACCACCAUGCUCCAGACACAGGCUUGGGAAAGACACAUCAAAAUUAAAAUACUAGGAGGUGGCAGGUGUACAUUUCUGGCUCUGAGCCCAUGUCGGACCCUGGAAGGAGACCCCACUGUCCUGAUCCCCUGCACGGCACCCCACCACAAGCAGCAGGCACACGCGGUGGGAAUCAGAAACGUUGUACAGAUAAAAUGAAAUAGCUCAUGUGGUCACGUGCUCAUAGUUAACAACACUUGACGCCACCAAGUCCGCGGAAAGAUGCUCAACACCACUAAUCACGAGGCAAGUGCAAACCAAACCCAUCAUGCACCAGGCUGGCCACUGUCAAAAAACAGAAAAUAACAG